AUGCCACGACCAGAGAGAGCGAGACAAUGGCGAAUCCUCACUUUUAUAUCGGAGAUUGCGUCCUUCCGGUUUUACAGUAUUGGCUUAUUGUAUAUUUGGAAUUUGUGGUUGGGGGCAGAGUUAACUGUGUCACUCUUGUGGUGGUGUAUGGGUAUUGUAGUUUUGGAUUGUUCUUUUGUAGUCCAUGGUACCAACACAUGGAAGCUAUUGUACAAUGCUUUGGUGAGUGGAUAUUCUCUGGAGAUGAUGGCUGAACUUAUGCAAAUGUCAGCUGCGUUCGGUGUCGCUUGAGAAAAUGAGUGCGGGCGAAUAUACCACAUGUUGAAGACGAUCAUAAAGUUAGCUAGAUUUUCUGUAUAUUUGAAUUAUACAGGCUUUCCCCCAAAAACCUUUAAUGCCCUUCUUAUUAACUGGUCAUCCAUUUAUGAUGCCGAAAUCGUGUUUACUUAAACUGUUUUCUUUGUUUACAUUGGCUAAUUGUUUGUUGCGCCACAGUGACAUUGUUUGGCGGUACAUUCGUUUGAAAUAUUGGAAGGAAUAUCUUGACAUUUAUUCAUCAAUAGUUUCCCAAUAUUUUUGAUUACCAUACGUUGUCUUUGGGGGUGCAUAUACCGCUGAUUAGGAAUAAUUGGUUUUAAUCCAAAUUUAAAAGCUAGCUAGCAUAUUUUUACUAUCUAAACAAAUUAUUAGCCCCUUGCUGUGAAGUGAUAUCAUGAGCACUGUCCUUGUAAUUACAAUUUGGAACACAUAAAUGUUACUGUAAAGAAUAAUUAAAUCUAUAUUCAUUUUAGAUGCAUGUAUCCAUAUGGAAUGCUGGCUCUCCGUCAACUAUUAAAGAAUGCAACAUCUGCUGCAGACACUUAUUCCAAUGCCUAUUAUGCCCAACCUUCAAACCAACAAAGAAGGCAAACAUUCAGAGUUUGCUUCUACCUGACUGCUUCCUGCAUAGCUGAGACAAUCCUCUUGUCAGAGCAGAUACCUACCUCCCCCACUGUUAGAGCAAAUCACCAAAAACUCUGUGUAGAGUCAGGUAAAUUAAUCAGUAAAUUAAUCUGACAUUUGUUUUACUCUGUUCUUGCAAAGCUUAACAGUUUUCUUUAAUAUUAUCUAAAUGUAAAACACUUGUAACCAGGGUUUUGAAAAGUGCAAUACAAAAUAAAUUGCCAGAUUUUUUAAAUAUGUAAAUGUAUUAAAUCUUUAGACUGUCAAGCUCAUGAAGCUGAUAGCAUCUGCUACCAGUGUGCAAGAAAAAAUUGACGGAGGUGAAAUCAACAUGAUGGGCUACCUCUUUGAUGUCAUACUUCAAGAGGUCAUCACCAGGAUCUUGGAAAAGAAUGAGGGCUUCAGCUGCUAUCGGGCAGAAUUUGCCAUGGCCAGUGGAUUUCACCAUUAAAAGCUGGAGAAAUGUGAUAGUCUUGAUUGUAUUUAUUU